rnacentral:rRNA from 1 species
UACGAAGGGGGGCUAGCGUUGCUCGGAAUCACUGGGCGUAAAGGGUGCGUAUGCGGGUCUUUUUUAAGUCAGGGGUGAAAUCCUGGAGCUCAACUCCAGAACUGCCUUUGAUACUGAAGAUCUUGAGUUCGGGAGAGGUGAGUGGAACUGCGAGUGUAGAGGUGAAAUUCGUAGAUAUCGGGAGGAACACCAGUGGCGAAGGCGGCGAUCUGGGAAGAUACUGACGCUGAGGUGCGAAAAGCGUGGGGAGCAAACAGG